rnacentral:rRNA from 1 species
AAUGUUGACCUCGGAUCAG